rnacentral:rRNA from 1 species
UACAUUCAAAGAGUGCGUAAUAGCUCACUAGUCGAGAGGUCCUGCGCCGAAAAUGAACCGGGGCUAAACACGACACCGAAGCUCAGGAAUCCGAAAGGAUUGGUAGAGGAGCAUUGCUGAAGCGACGAAGCAGUACCGAAAGGAGCUGUGGAGUUUCAGGAAGAGAGAAUGCCGGAAUGAGUAGCGAGAGAAAGGUGAGAAUCCUUUCGGCCGAAUAUCCAAGGUUUCCAGGGUAAAGCUGAUCUGCCCUGGGUAAGUCGGGGCCUAAGGCGAGGCAGAAAUGCGUAGUCGAUGGACAGCAGGUUGAGAUUCCUGCACCCGUAAUGAACAGAACUGUAGUGACACGGAAGGUAAGACAGAGCCGGGAAUGAGAAAACCGGUGCAAGCACAAUAGAUGUGUGGGAGGAAAAACCCCCGCAUAAGUCGAAGGUGUGAUGCGGACCGAAAAAGAGUAGGGAAGCUGUUAAGCAAGCCGUCAAGAAAAGCUGCUAUUGUUUCAUUAUGGCCCGUACCGUAAACCGACACAGGUGGAUGGGGAGAGAAUCCUAAGGCCGGCGGAAGAAGUAUUGUUAAGGAACUCGGCAAAAUGACCCCGUAACUUCGGGAGAAGGGGUGCCUGCGAGAGCAGGCCGCAGAGAAGAGGCCCAAGCAACUGUUUAGCAAAAACACAGGUCUAUGCAAAACCGAAAGGUGAGGUAUAUGGGCUGACGCCUGCCCGGUGCUGGAAGGUUAAGGGGAGUGGUCAGGAAACGAAGCCACGAACUUAAGCCCCAGUAAACGGCGGCCGUAACUAUAACGGUCCUAAGGUAGCGAAAUUCCUUGUCGGGUAAGUUCCGACCCGCACGAAAGGCGUAAUGAUUUGGGCGCUGUCUCGACAAUACAUCCGGUGAAAUUGAAGUGCCAGUGAAGAUGCUGGCUACCUGCGCCAGGACGGAAAGACCCCAUGGAGCUUUACUCCAGCUUGAUACUGGGACCCGGUAUUGCAUGUACAGGAUAGGUGGGAGGCUAGGAAAUGUGGACGCCAGUCUGCAUGGAGCCGCCGUUGGGAUACCACCCUUGUGGUGCUGGGUUUCUAACCAGAGGCCGUGAACCGGUCUGGGGACAAUGUCAGGUGGGGAGUUUGACUGGGGCGGUCGCCUCCGAAAGGGUAUCGGAGGCGCCCAAAGGUUCCCUCAGAAUGGUUGGAAACCAUUCGAAGAGUGCAAAGGCAGAAGGG